UCUUUUCUAAUCUAUUCUCUCUCAGUUAUCCUCACUUCCUCUCACUUCAUCUCCUCGACAAAACCAAAAAAUUGAAUCCCCUCCUCAACAACAGUAAUGGUGAAACAGAAGAAUCAAGAGAAAUCGAACCCUUUUCUUCAUAUCCUCUACUAAACCACAAGAUAACUGCAAUAGCUUCUUUCUCAUCUUCAAACGAAAAACCCAAUCUUCUGAACUACGUUCAUCAUCGUUUAAUAAACUCUUUACUUCAUUUUAUCAUGAUCUUUCAUACCUCUAAAACCCCAAACUUUCUAAUUUCAAAACCCAAUAAUCGUUCAAUUUACCAGAUCUAUUCAAGAUCAUCAAUUGAUUAAGAACAGAAAAAGAAAACCCUAACUGGUUUAGAUUUUAUUUUGUUAUGGGUAAUUUUCAGUAUUAAAUCUACCAACAACUAAUUGCAGGCAUAUCAGUAUGGAUAUUUGGGAUGUGGCUAUGGACAAAAUGGGUAAAGAAUAGUUGCUCGAGAAAUUGUAUACUGAGCAUAUAUAGGGGUUUGAAAUGGUGUGCUGGUUAUAAUGAUUGAAGGGAUUCAACUUUAGCUUCAUUGUCUACAAAAGAUUAUUGGGAACGAGUGGUAUUACUUACUUUGUUUGUCCUUCGUAUUAAAUCUAGUAAAGGGUAUGUUUUAACUUGGUUUUAGGGUUCUUUAACAUUAUGAUUAACAUAAUGUUUUCACCGAUAUUAAUCCAACAGUAUAAGUUCGUAUUGUAGGAUUUAGUAAUUCCUAUCUCAAGUGUACUUAUUUGAAAUUCAAAAUGCUUUUGCAUUACAUAUUGGUAGUCCUAGUUCUAUUAUGACUAACGCUCAUUUGCAUUACUAGCUUGCAAGUAAGAGUAUCAUCUGAUAAACAUAUUUGGCUUUAUGAGUGCAGACAUCAUUAUUUUCAUUCAAUCACUACUUGCUAAGGUUAGUUUUCUCUGGAUGGAAUAUUGUUCCAAUAUUCAAAUUUCAAUUGAAUUAUUAUAUAUGACCCGAAGUCUAACUUAUUUCUCUAAUGUUUCUAACUUCGUUCCUGCCUUCCUGGGUUAUUCGUCUACGUAUGCUCAAUAUUUGUUUUGGAUGGAAUGAGAGUUAUUUUGUCUUUAAAGCAUGAUCGGGUCUUGAAUGUAGUGAAAAUUUAGUAUGCUGCUACUAGUGCUAGUAUUUAUUAUCUUUAUAAGAUGAUGAAUCAUUACUACUUGGAUCAAGUAAUUUCCUUUUCUCUAUCCCAUGUCCCAACUUCUGUAACUCAAGGAUUGGGUUCCUUAUAACUGCUCUUUUGUAAUCUCUAAUCUCUAUUAGUAUCCAACAUUCCCUUUGGUGGUUGCAGAACAAGGUCAUAACUUUAACCCCUGAUAUGAAACUUCUGCUGGUUAUGCAACUAAUGGCAUUGGACCUUGAUUCUCGAGUUUUGGUUAGAGAAAGUAGGAUACAGGCCCAAUCAUAUUAGAGAUCCUACGAAUAGCUUGUUCUAAAUAUAAGUUGCAUAACUAUGGCGAAGGAAGUGCUUGUUCAUUAGAGCUUCAUUUCAGUUAGGUGUGGUGGUAUUAUCUAACUAUGGCGAAGGAAGUGCUUGUUCUAAAUAUAAUGAGAUUCCUUCCACAUUGGCUUCUGUCGAUACCUUUGAAAGGUACACACAGCUUUCUAGCGAUCCCCUUCGCAAAACUAGCAAACCUGGAAUUUUGUUCAUUGAUAUACAUCCAUCCAAGAAUAGCUCUCUUGCUCGUCGCACUCUUAAUAAUCACUGACUUCUGAAAGGGAUAUGAAAAUGUAAUAGGAAGCUUGCAAAUUCUUCUUCUUCAAAGACACCACCUGACAAAAACUGGAAUUAUGGAGAAGCAUUAUGGUUACGUGGAAUUUCACUCAUGUUUCCUUGGUAGUUUUUCUAUGGUGAUUUGCUUUUUAGAUUUCUAUAUGUUUCAUAAAUUAUUUUCAGAUUUGGAACUGAUUGUAGUUUGUUAUUGUAAAAUGAAAUCCAUGUGUUUAAUGAAUUCUACGCAGAUUUAGAACUUGAGUAAUUGUAGUUUGUUGGGGUUGUACAAUGAAUUUUGUGAACAUAAGCUUAUUUCAAUUUCAUUGCUUAAAUCAUAUUUUAU